UGGGGAAUUUUGGACAAUGGGCGAAGCCUGAUCCAGCAAUGCCGCGUGUGUGAAGAAGGCCUUCGGGUUGUAAAGCACUUUUGUCCGGAAAGAAAUCUUGGCUCUAAUACANUCGGGGGAUACGGUACCGGAAGAAUAAGCACCGGCUAACUACGUGCCAGCAGCCGCGGUAAUACGUAGGGUGCAAGCGUUAAUCGGAAUUACUGGGCGUAAAGCGUGCGCAGGCGGUUUGCUAAGACCGAUGUGAAAUCCCCGGGCUCAACCUGGGAACUGCAUUGGUGACUGGCAGGCUAGAGUAUGGCAGAGGGGGGUAGAAUUCCACGUGUAGCAGUGAAAUGCGUAGAGAUGUGGAGGAAUACCGAUGGCGAAGGCAGCCCCCUGGGCCAAUACUGACGCUCAUGCAGCGAAAGCGUGGGGAGC
rnacentral:rRNA from 1 species